GAUUGUACCCGGAUUGUUAACGUAAUUGAUACCAUUUAAAAUGUUUGCUAAAUGCACCUAAAAUAGUUUUGUAACAAAAUCCUUUAAUUCCGUCUUUCCAGGAAUUUACUUGAAGCGUCUCGUUGUUUGAAAAUGAAAUGUAUAAAACACAAAAGAAAAAUUAGAAAAUUGUUAUCACGUAUGUUUUUGGUCAUGUUAAGUACCAAAGUCCUGGUGAUUGCAAAUGUCGCGACCUCAAGAUAAACAUAAUGUUUACAUAACAGUGUUGUAUUUGUAGAUCUGAUAAACUAUGACUUGUUUUCAAAGAAGAAAAGAUCGCGCCGAAAAAUUCCGUUCCUCUGUGAAAUGAAGUUAUAAAAUAUAUACUUAUAUACAUUUUUGACUCAUUUUUAUCAUACCAUUUAGGUAAUUGAAGGUUUUCAAAUAUUUCCCAUAAUAUAUUUGAAAACAACAAAGUGUAAAUAACAGACACAUAUUGACAAUACUAGAUAUGUUUGAAUAUAACAGGUACAAUAAAUUAACUGUGAUUUACUAGGUUGGACUUGGUAGAUUGCAUUUUUUAUCGCGCGAUGGACAUAUCCACGAAUCAUUUGAUUUAGAAUCAAUUUUUAUGGGUUUUUAUCAAUUCUACUUAAAAACGUUUGAGAGCCAUAGAAAAAAAAUCAAUCAUUUAAAAAGACAGACAGAUUAAAUGCAAAAAAAUAUAUACAGUUAAUAAGACCAGACCAAAAAUCAGCUCAACUAACAUUUUAAAUCACCAUUUCAAAUUUCGUAACUUCAAAAUGCGUGACGUCACUAAGCCCAAUAAGCCGAUAAGCGAUUAAUAAAAAAAAUAUCGGAACGAAACAAACAAACAAAUCCAAUAUGACGCCUGUCACGUCACGACCGCUAUCGUUCUCGGCUACGUUAUCACACGCGCGUAGACGAUCCGUUUUUAGAAAUAUUAAUUCAGUAAUAACCGUUACUAUUUUUAGUAAUGGCUAGUCUAAAAAUAUAACAGUUGUAGCUGCGAGUCAAUGACGUUCGCACUUGAUAAUACGAACGUUAGUCAGUUGUGUCGUUGACUCGAUGCAUUUCCACGAUUUAUUGUUUUCGAUUGAUAUGCGUGUAUAGUAGUGUAUAUUAUCGAAUUAAAUCGUCUAUUAGAUGGGUCAACGAAGAAGAAAGCCACCUACGUUUGCAAAAUUAAUUUGCUUGGAAUGUUAAGAAUGAAUAAAACUAACAAAAUGCAUGUGAGUGCAACGCGAGUGACGUCUAUGGUUUUGCCGACGUUUUUUUUUUUUUGCUGUGGCAUCAAAAUAAAUUUCAUGUUAUUUGAUUAGUUUUCAAUGUUAUUUAAAUUUCGAAUGGAAUAUCUUAAUUUGAUGACAAUAUUAAUGCAAUUUUUUUUUGUUGCAAACAAUUAUGACGGCCAGAUGUUUUAAAUAUCUACACUAUAUUAUGUACACAUACAUAUGUAUGUUCUUUCUCAUGGUUAUCAAGUGAAUACCAGAUGUUAAAAUUAAAAACAUCGUGUGCCCCUAUCCAUUCGACUUUUGCUUAAAUCAACAAAAGAAAAAAAAACAAUUCUAAGCAAUAAUAAACACAACAUUUCAAUUUUCAAUGUUACAUGAAUAAUUGUAGAUCUAUUGUGUUCGAUGUAUAAAAACAAUAAUCGUAAAAUCAAAAUUCUGCAAACGAUUAGACAUUAAUAGUUAAAUGAGUAUGCUUACAUAACUAUAAGUCCAGUGCUUAGACGACGCGACAGUGGAGCGUGAGACGUGCUCGGUUGAACAAGGCCGACCUGUCGACAUUGACCGUGAAGCUACAUAAAAAAAAACCACAAAAAAAAAACUAAUGUUUCCGCAAAUGGAGACGGCUCGCUCGCUUCGAAUCGAAAUCUGGUCGAAAAGGCGAAUGUGCUACAUCUGCGGGCGUAUCGGCUGCAUAACCUUGUCAUAACCUCGCUGUUGGUCUUGUAUGACAAUCGGUAUGUUUUACUAUUCGCUAAUUUAAUAUUAAUAAACUUUUUUUUUCAAGUAGCAUCAAUAA